GCCAUCAGUCAGACAAGGUUCCUGCUUGGAUGGAGCUCACCAUUCGUGGGAAAGACAGGUGGGGGGGACAGAUGAGGACAAGCAAGGACGAGCAGAACGCUUUUAGAGCUGGGUGAUGAUAGAAUCAGAGAGACAGAGACAGCACAAGCAGGGGGAGAGAGAGAGGAGAGAGAAGCAGUCUCCCCAC